GAUGAACGCUGGCGGCGUGCCUAAUACAUGCAAGUCGAACGCUUCACUUCGGUGAAGAGUGGCGAACGGGUGAGUAAUACAUAAGUAACCUGGCAUCUACAGGGGGAUAACUGAUGGAAACGUCAGCUAAGACCGCAUAGGUGUAGAGAUCGCAUGAACUCUAUAUGAAAAGUGCUACGGGACUGGUAGAUGAUGGACUUAUGGCGCAUUAGCUGGUUGGUAGGGUAACGGCCUACCAAGGCGACGAUGCGUAGCCGACCUGAGAGGGUGACCAGGCACACGAGGACUGAGACACAGCCCAGACUCCUACGGGAGGAAGCGGUAUGGAAUUUUCGGCAAUGGGGGAAAACCUGACCGAGCAACGCCGCGUGAAGGAAGAAGUAAUUCGUUAUGUAAACUUCUUUCAUAGAGGAAUAACGGUGGAUAUAGGGAAUGGUAUCCAAGUGACGGUACUCUAUAAGAAAGCCACGGCUAACUACGUGCCAGCAGCCGCCGUAA
rnacentral:rRNA from 1 species